GGAAUCAUUAGGAAUAAAAAGAAAUUCUCAGUUAGUGUGACACACAUCUGAGCUGGCUACUAAGGGAAUAAAUAGCUUCUAGAAGAUUUCAUCCAUGGCGGUAUUCGGCAGGAUCCGAUUACAUUUAAAUGCUAAUGCACAUCCUGCAGCAUUCUGAUUCACCGGAGGACUAAUGUUGCUGAUAGGCACGCAGAUAGCCUGGACGGAUAUUACAUUCUGAGCAACAGCAGAGCAAAACCCUCCCAACCUUCAGUUCCUCCAAAACGCCCAUAAACUGGCUGAGCUAGGAAAUAGCCACAAAAGAAGAGAAAUGCUCUGCUGUGGAAAACAGUUUGGCACUUCCUCAGAUGGUUAACCAUAGUUUCCACGUGGUCCAGCAACUUCAUGCCCAGGGUAUCAGCAGGAGUGACAUGAGCAAACGCUUGAAACAAAUCUGUGCAACGGGCUUGCCCUCUGCGCUGCUGUCAUUGCCCUGGGAAGGCAUGCCGUGAGAAGCAGCUGCCCCAGCAGCCCUGACCCCAGAAUGAACGUCUGUGGAGCAGAGCCGCCCCAGCUGACUCGCAGCCCCACAGUUGAGGCAGAGCUGCCUGGUAUAAGGCCUACGGCUGUACGCCACGGCGUGGUUCCACACAACGAACUUCUCCCAAAUAAGAAGAGUGAUAAAACCCUCCCAGAUGUCAGAUGCUCACUGUGCUACAUCUCCUACUGCAUCGUACCCCCUGCUUCCCAAUUCCUCGCACAGAGCCAAUACAGCACACAACACAAAAUGUUCGCUCAGUCUAUCUUUGUUAGCUAUCUACUGAUAAUACAGAGUUUCUGAUUGCCAUUUAUAUAGAGAGAGAUAAAAAAUAGAAAACCAAUUUUGACAUUCUCUUGAGUCAACAGGACCCAGGGGCCUCCUAGGUUCCUGAAUGCGGAAUGUAAAAUAUUAGUGAUGCUCAAAUAAGCAACUUGCUUCUUAGAGUAGCAGGCAGAAUUCCGUAGGAGUGGCAGCGAGACCUAACUAGAGAAGUCUGACAUGGAGGAUUUAAUUACACGCCUUUUGUGAGUGUGAAGUAGACGUUGUGUGUGGUCCCACAACCACGCAACCGCAUCUGUGCAUCCCAGGCAGAGCCAGUGAACCCAAACGUCUUCAGGUUGAAACUGAAGCAAGAAGUGUAAGGAAAUUGAAAAUUCUUAAGCAUCAUAAAAACAUCCUCUUGCUCUUGUUCCAGUUCUAACCAGUCAAUCAACCAGCAUUCACCAGUCUUCAUGUCAGUCCCCAGCACUAGGGCUGCCCCUAAAGCCGACAGGGCCUGUGCCAAGAGCAGAGAUAGGGGUUCACGUAUCAUAUGUCUAAAUAGUCAAAAGUUAUAAAUCAAGCUAACAAACUACAAAAUAACAUAUAUUCUAUCUUACUACCUUGACAAAUAUACUUUCACAGAAAC
rnacentral:lncRNA from 1 species